GGGACUAUAGUUAAUAAUAACAUUUGAGUUGCAUUCAAAAAGUACUACUUUAGUAGUUAGCCUCA
rnacentral:tRNA from 1 species